CCUUCCGUAGGUGAACCUGCGGAAGGAUCAUUACAGUAGUCGCCCGGGUUGCCGCAAGGCCUCCCGGGUAACCUACCACCCUUUGUUUAUUACACUUUGUUGCUUUGGCAGGCCUGCCCUCGGGCUGCUGGCUCCGGCCGGCGAGCGCUUGCCAGAGGACUAAACUCUGUUUGUCUAUACUGUCUGAGUACUAUAUAAUAGUUAAAACUUUCAACAACGGAUCUCUUGGUUCUGGCAUCGAUGAAGAACGCAGCGAAAUGCGAUAAGUAAUGUGAAUUGCAGAAUUCAGUGAAUCAUCGAAUCUUUGAACGCACAUUGCGCCCCCUGGUAUUCCGGGGGGCAUGCCUGUCCGAGCGUCAUUACAACCCUCAAGCUCAGCUUGGUAUUGGGCCCCGCCGACCCGGCGGGCCCUAAAGUCAGUGGCGGUGCCGUCCGGCUCCGAGCGUAGUAAUUCUUCUCGCUCCGGAGGUCCGGUCGUGUGCUUGCCAGCAACCCCCAAUUUUUUCAGGUUGACCUCGGAUCAGGUAGGGAUACCCGCUGAACUUAAGCAUAUCAAUAAGCAGGAGGA
rnacentral:rRNA from 1 species